UAAGACUGGGAUAACGUUACGGGAAACCGGAGACUAAUACCGAUAAUAUAUUGAACCGCAUGGUUCAAUAGUGAAAGACGGUUUUGCUGUCACUUAUAGAUGGAUCCGCGCCGCAUUAGCUAGUUGGUAAGGUAACGGCUUACCAAGGCAACGAUGCGUAGCCGACCUGAGAGGGUGAUCGGCCACACUGGAACUGAGACACGGUCCAGACUCCUACGGGAGGCAGCAGCU
rnacentral:rRNA from 1 species